rnacentral:rRNA from 1 species
GUUGUAUAGUUAAGUGACUAAGCGUACAAGGUGGAUGCCUUGGCAAUCAGAGGCGAAGAAGGACGUGCUAAUCUGCGAAAAGCUUGGAUGAGUCGAUAAGAGGCGUUUAAUCCAAGAUGUCCGAAUGGGGAAACCCAGUAGAUGAAGAAUCUACUAUCACUUACUGAAUCCAUAGGUAAGUGAGGCAAACCGGGAGAACUGAAACAUCUAAGUACCCCGAGGAAAAGAAAUCAACCGAGAUUUCGUUAGUAGCGGCGAGCGAA